rnacentral:rRNA from 2 species
AGGUUGGGUAACACUAACUGGAGGACCGAACCGACUAAUGUUGAAAAAUUAGCGGAUGACCUGUGGCUGGGGGUGAAAGGCCAAUCAAACCGGGAGAUAGCUGGUUCUCCCCGAAAGCUAUUUAGGUAGCGCCUCGUGAAUUCAUCUCCGGGGGUAGAGCACUGUUUCGGCUAGGGGGCCAUCCCGGCUUACCAACCCGAUGCAAACUGCGAAUACCGGAGAAUGUUAUCACGGGAGACACACGGCGGGUGCUAACGUCCGUCGUGAAGAGGGAAACAACCCAGACCGCCAGCUAAGGUCCCAAAGUCAUGGUUAAGUGGGAAACGAUGUGGGAAGGCCCAGACAGCCAGGAUGUUGGCUUAGAAGCAGCCAUCAUUUAAAGAAAGCGUAAUAGCUCACUGGUCGAGUCGGCCUGCGCGGAAGAUGUAACGGGGCUAAACCAUGCACCGAAGCUGCGGCAGCGACACUGUGUGUUGUUGGGUAGGGGAGCGUUCUGUAAGCCUGUGAAGGUGUGUCGUGAGGCAUGCUGGAGGUAUCAGAAGUGCGAAUGCUGACAUAAGUAACGAUAAAGCGGGUGAAAAGCCCGCUCGCCGGAAGACCAAGGGUUCCUGUCCAACGUUAAUCGGGGCAGGGUGAGUCGACCCCUAAGGCGAGGCCGAAAGGCGUAGUCGAUGGGAAACGGGUUAAUAUUCCCGUACUUGGUGUUACUGCGAAGGGGGGACGGAGAAGGCUAUGUUGGCCGGGCGACGGUUGUCCCGGUUUAAGCGUGUAGGUGUGUGUUCCAGGUAAAUCCGGUUCACUUUAACACUGAGGCGUGACGACGAGGCACUACGGUGCUGAAGCAACAAAUGCCCUGCUUCCAGGAAAAGCCUCUAAGCAUCAGGUAACAUCAAAUCGUACCCCAAACCGACACAGGUGGUCAGGUAGAGAAUACCAAGGCGCUUGAGAGAACUCGGGUGAAGGAACUAGGCAAAAUGGUGCCGUAACUUCGGGAGAAGGCACGCUGACACGUAGGUGAAGUGAUUUACUCAUGGAGCUGAAGUCAGUCGAAGAUACCAGCUGGCUGCAACUGUUUAUUAAAAACACAGCACUGUGCAAACACGAAAGUGGACGUAUACGGUGUGACGCCUGCCCGGUGCCGGAAGGUUAAUUGAUGGGGUCAGCGCAAGCGAAGCUCCUGAUCGAAGCCCCGGUAAACGGCGGCCGUAACUAUAACGGUCCUAAGGUAGCGAAAUUCCUUGUCGGGUAAGUUCCGACCUGCACGAAUGGCGUAAUGAUGGCCAGGCUGUCUCCACCCGAGACUCAGUGAAAUUGAACUCGCUGUGAAGAUGCAGUGUACCCGCGGCAAGACGGAAAGACCCCGUGAACCUUUACUAUAGCUUGACACUGAACAUUGAGCCUUGAUGUGUAGGAUAGGUGGGAGGCUUUGAAGUGUGGACGCCAGUCUGCAUGGAGCCGACCUUGAAAUACCACCCUUUAAUGUUUGAUGUUCUAACGUGGACCCGUUACCCGGGUUGCGGACAGUGUCUGGUGGGUAGUUUGACUGGGGCGGUCUCCUCCUAAAGAGUAACGGAGGAGCACGAAGGUUGGCUAAUCCUGGUCGGACAUCAGGAGGUUAGUGCAAUGGCAUAAGCCAGCUUGACUGCGAGCGUGACGGCGCGAGCAGGUGCGAAAGCAGGUCAUAGUGAUCCGGUGGUUCUGAAUGGAAGGGCCAUCGCUCAACGGAUAAAAGGUACUCCGGGGAUAACAGGCUGAUACCGCCCAAGAGUUCAUAUCGACGGCGGUGUUUGGCACCUCGAUGUCGGCUCAUCACAUCCUGGGGCUGAAGUAGGUCCCAAGGGUAUGGCUGUUCGCCAUUUAAAGUGGUACGCGAGCUGGGUUUAGAACGUCGUGAGACAGUUCGGUCCCUAUCUGCCGUGGGCGCUGGAGAACUGAGGGGGGCUGCUCCUAGUACGAGAGGACCGGAGUGGACGCAUCACUGGUGUUCGGGUUGUCAUGCCAAUGGCACUGCCCGGUAGCUAAAUGCGGAAGAGAUAAGUGCUGAAAGCAUCUAAGCACGAAACUUGCCCCGAG